CCUACGGGUGGCAGCAGUGAGGAAUAUUGGUCAAUGGCCGAGAGGCUGAACCAGCCAAGUCGCGUGAGGGAAGACUGUCCUAUGGAUUGUAAACCUCUUUUGUCAGGGAGCAAAGUCACCCACGUGUGGCUGUUGGAGAGUACUUGAAGAAAAAGCAUCGGCUAACUCCGUGCCAGCAUCCGCGGUAAUACGGAGGAUGCGAGCGUUAUCCGGAUUUAUUGGGUUUAAAGGGUGCGUAGGCGGGUUAUUAAGUCAGUGGUAACAUCGUGGAGUUAAACUCCAUCCAGCCGUUGAUACUGAUGAUCUUGAGUGCGCGAGAAGUAUGCGGAAUGCGUGGUGUAGCGGUGAAAUGCAUAGAUAUCACGAAGAACUCCGAUUGCGAAGGCAGCAUACC
rnacentral:rRNA from 1 species